rnacentral:rRNA from 1 species
UUUUUGGAGAGUUUGAUCCUGGCUCAGAACGAACGCUGGCGGCGUGGAUAAGGCAUGCAAGUCGAACGGACCUAGUGUCCGGAUCCUUUCGGGGUGAAGGAUGCAAAGGUUAGUGGCAAAAGGGUGAGUAACACGUGAGUAACUUGCCUAUGGCUCGAGAAUAACUCGCCGAAAGGCGGGCUAAUACUGGAUAAUACUUUCAGGUUUCUUAUCUGAUUGUUAAAGGUGGCCUCUGACUUAAGCUACCGGCCGUAGAGAGGCUCGCGUCCUAUUAGCUAGUUGGUAGGGUAAAGGCCUACCAAGGCUCCGAUGGGUAGCCGGUCUGAGAGGACGAUCGGCCACACUGGGACUGAGACACGGCCCAGACUCCUACGGGAGGCUGCAGUCGAGAAUAAUUCGCAAUGGGGGAAACCCUGACGAUGCGACGCCGCGUGAGGGAUGACGGUCUUCGGAUUGUAAACCUCUGUCACUCGGAAAGAAAAGUAUGUACGUGAAUAAUGUACAUGCUUGACGGUACCGGGAGAGGAAGCUCCGGCUAACUCCGUGCCAGCAGCCGCGGUAAUACGGAGGGAGCAAGCGUUGUUCGGAUUUACUGGGCGUAAAGGGCGUGUAGGUGG